UGGGGAAUAUUGCACAAUGGGCGAAAGCCUGAUGCAGCAACGCCGCGUGAGUGAUGAAGGUCUUCGGAUUGUAAAGCUCUGUCUUUUGGGACGAUAAUGACGGUACCAAAGGAGGAAGCCACGGCUAACUACGUGCCAGCAGCCGCGGUAAUACGUAGGUGGCGAGCGUUGUCCGGAUUUACUGGGCGUAAAGGGUGCGUAGGCGGAUGUUUAAGUGAGAUGUGAAAUACCCGGGCUUAACUUGGGUGCUGCAUUUCAAACUGGAUAUCUAGAGUGCAGGAGAGGAGAAUGGAAUUCCUAGUGUAGCGGUGAAAUGCGUAGAGAUUAGGAAGAACACCAGUGGCGAAGGCGAUUCUCUGGACUGUAGCUGACGCUGAGGCACGAAAGCGUGGGUAGCAAACAGGAUUAGAUACCCUGGUAGUCCACGCC
rnacentral:rRNA from 1 species